rnacentral:rRNA from 1 species
GCGGGCUGGAACCUCUCGGGGUUACAGCCUUGCUGAAUUAUUCACCCUUGUCUUUUGCGUACUUCUUGUUUCCUUGGUGGGUUCGCCCACCACUAGGACAAACAUAAACCUUUUGUAAUUGCAAUCAGCGUCAGUAACAAAUUAAUAAUUACAACUUUCAACAACGGAUCUCUUGGUUCUGGCAUCGAUGAAGAACGCAGCGAAAUGCGAUAAGUAGUGUGAAUUGCAGAAUUCAGUGAAUCAUCGAAUCUUUGAACGCACAUUGCGCCCUUUGGUAUUCCAAAGGGCAUGCCUGUUCGAGCGUCAUUUGUACCCUCAAGCUUUGCUUGGUGUUGGGCGUCUUGUCUCUAGCUUUGCUGGAGACUCGCCUUAAAGUAAUUGGCAGCCGGCCUACUGGUUUCGGAGCGCAGCACAAGUCGCACUCUCUAUCAGCAAAGGUCUAGCAUCCAUUAAGCCUUUUUUUCAACUUUUGACCUCGGAUCAGGUAGGGAUACCCGCUGAACUUAAGCAUAUCAA